rnacentral:rRNA from 1 species
UACGGGGGGGGCAAGCGUUGUUCGGAAUUACUGGGCGUAAAGGGCUCGUAGGCGGCCAACUAAGUCAGACGUGAAAUCCCUCGGCUUAACCGGGGAACUGCAUCUGAUACUGGAUGGCUUGAGAUUGGGAGAGGGAUGCGGAAUUCCAGGUGUAGCGGUGAAAUGCGUAGAUAUCAGGAGGAACACCGGUGGCGAAGGCGUCACUCUGGGCCGGUACUGACGCUGAGGAGCGAAAGCGUGGGGAGCGAACAGG